ACGAACGCUGGCGGCGUGCCUAACACAUGCAAGUCGAACGAAGUUGUAGCAAUACAACUUAGUGGCGGACGGGUGAGUAACGCGUGGGCAACCUGCCCUUCAGAGGGGGAUAACACUAAGAAAUUGGUGCUAAUACCGCAUGAGAUAGUAGCUUCACAUGAAGCAGCUAUCAAAGGAGUAAUCCGCUGAAGGAUGGGCCCGCGUCUGAUUAGAUAGUUGGUGAGGUAACGGCUCACCAAGUCUACGAUCAGUAGCCGAUCUGAGAGGAUGAACGGCCACACUGGAACUGAGACACGGUCCAGACUCCUACGGGAGGCAGCAGUGGGGAAUAUUGCGCAAUGGGGGAAACCCUGACGCAGCAACGCCGCGUGGAGGAAGAAGGCCUUCGGGUUGUAAACUCCUGUCAUUGGGGAAGAAAAAAAUGACGGUACCCAAUGAGGAAGCCACGGCUAACUACGU
rnacentral:rRNA from 1 species